AUGGAAGCUAGUCAGAGCAUUGUCAUCAUGCAUUAUAAAACGAUCCUCCAAUUUGAGGACGACAUGAGCAUAUCAUAUACUCCGACCGGACAGUUCCUCAACGAAAGGCGCCUAGCCUGGCCACCCACUCCCACAGUGUCAAGAGCGGCCCUUUUUGGCUGUCCACAAGGCGAUUUGCCCCCUGGAGCGUCAUCGGAAUCCGCUGCAACUUGGGCGUGGCUACCGCUGCAGCAUGUGCCCGUGGAGGUAGAGGCAGCUCCUCGCUUCCUACAAGGGGCAUCCCCAUCUCUCUGCCCAAUGUCUCAUCAGAUCACGGAUCCAUCCAUUUCAUCCAGUACUAGCAGUGCAAGAACCAAGAAGAGAGAGCCUUCCUGCUCACCUAGCUCAAUCAGCCUCCUCCUGUUGUUCAGGAGCAACCGAGAAAGCAAGCUCGAGAUGGAGCACAAGGUGAAGAGCCAUGGCAGCAAGCACAAGGGGUCAGGAGGAUCAGGAGGGCUGAGCAGGAUGCUGAGGGAGCACAAGGCCAGGCUCUACAUCAUCCGCCGAUGCGUCGUCAUGCUCCUCUGCUCUUGA
rnacentral:rRNA from 1 species